CAGAAUUAGCUUAGACUGUGUGAUCCAACCCUAGCCAAUAUGGGAACCACACAGCAGUAGGGACUACCUGCAUCAGGAAUAAGAACCCCUCCCCCUCCCUUGUUCAGGUGUGCUCUUGCCAUUACUCCAUUCGUAAGUUGCACCCUUCUAUAGAAGUGAAAAUUGCCUUGCUGAGAAAAUUAUAUUUAUAUUCUUUGCUAUUUCUUUGUGGCACUGAGGAACAAGCAUUUUGUUUCUAACAUUGACAAUGAAUUGUUUGUUUUUGUAUAUCUGGAGUUAUUUCAUCAUUAUUUUUGUAUGAUAUUUUGUUGUGCAUAGAAUUCCAUAUAAAUGAUACACAGGUAAGUAAAUAAUUAUUUCAAUAUAUUCUGAAUUUCACUGUAUAAUAAAAGGCUGUUGUCAUUCUUAAAAUUGUUCCUGUAGUAAUAUGUCUUUUCAUUAUGUGGCUGCUUUAUACUGGUUUAAAUAAUUUGUUUAUUAUGUACCUAUGUGGUUUUAUUUAUGAUGCUUUAUUUACAUGGGCUUUUUGGAUUUAUACUUUUCACAACAUUUUAAAAGUUGUCAGUCAUUACUCUACUAAAUAUAUUUCUAGCCCUCUCUACCACAAAUGGUUUCUCUCCUUUUGAGGCUCAAAUCAGGUAAAUAGUAAGCAACUUGGUGUUUUUCUAGAGCUUAUUAAUGCUGUGCUUAAUUUUUUUAGUCUUUUAUUUAUAUAUGUUUCAUUUAGAAUAAUUUAAUUUCUGUGUUUUCAAAUUUAUGUAUUUGUCUACAAUGUCUAAUAUUCUGUUAAUAUGUCUAUUGUAUUUUUUAAUCUCAGAUAUUAUAUGUUUCAAUUAUAGUUUAUUAUGUGUGUGUUUUUAACCUUCUCUUUCUCUGCUUUUCAUGGUUUUCUCUAUAGUCUCCAACAUGAGUAUAUUGAUAAGACCAUUUGUUAAUGCCCUUGACCACCCAUUCUAUCUUCUUUGUCAUUUCCAGGUCUAAUUCUAUUACCUAUUUUUUUCUCUUAUACUAAGCAAUAUUUCUAGAAUUCUUUUCGUGUCUAGUUUUUUUUGUUUUUUUUUUUCUUUUUUUGACCAUAGUCAUGGUAAUAUAUAUUGUUUUUAGGUUCUACACUUUGGAUUUUAGACUAAGGUCAAUCAUUGGAAAUAAUUUUUUUGUUUGUUUUUUCCUUCAGGGCUUUAUUUUAAGCUUUGUUAGAUCCAAAAGAGAUUUUUGGUGUUAAUUUUAUUCUUUUAUAUUUUAAAUACUAUUCUGAGAACUCUAUGUGAUGCCUAUUUGUUAGGAGUUUUUCCAUCUUGUCUGUUAAAUAAUGUGACGCCUAUUUGUUAGGAGUUUUUCCAUCUUGUCUGUUAAAUAAUAAAAUAAAAUAUUCUCAACUCUAUGUGAGUCUUAGUAUUGUUCUGAGUAUUACUUGUUAUAAUUGUUUUUCCAGUCUCUGUUAUUUUUUAGUAGGCAUUCAGUUGAAGAAUUAAUGGGGAUUAUAUUCACAUUUUUGGAGUGAAAGUAAUUCAGACAAUGUAUCCAUAAAUAAUUAAAUAACAUCUAGAUUUAUUUUUACUUCAUUAAAUUAAUUUUAGCAUGUGCAUUGGAUAAUAAAAUAUUAAUUCUUUAUUGCCAUAAAUAAAUUUAACAUUUUUAUGUGCAUCUUUCUUUGUUU
rnacentral:lncRNA from 10 species